rnacentral:rRNA from 1 species
AUUGAACGCUGGCGGCAGGCCUAACACAUGCAAGUCGAACGAGUGGCGGACGGGUGAGUAAUGUCUGGGACACUGUCUGAUGGAGGGGGAUAACUACUGGAAACGGUAGCUAAUACCGCAUACCAUCAGAUCUGCCCAGAUGGGCUGAGCUAUUUGGGUGGGUAACGGCUCCCAAAGGCGACGAUCCCUAGCUGGUCUGAGAGGAUGACCAGCCACACUGGAACUGAGACACGGGCCAGACUCCUACGAGCGGCAGCAGUGGGGAAUAUUGCUCAAUGGGCGCAAGCCUGAUGCAGCCAUGCCGCGUGUAUGAAGAAGGCCUUCGGGUUGUAAAGUACUUUCAGCGGGGAGUCGUUACCCGCAGAAGAAGCACCGGCUAACUCCGUGCCAGCAGCCGCGGUAAUAC